rnacentral:rRNA from 1 species
UACGUAGGGUGCGAGCGUUGUCCGGAAUUAUUGGGCGUAAAGAGCUUGUAGGCGGUCUGUCGCGUCUGCUGUGAAAAUCCGGGGCUCAACCCCGGACUUGCAGUGGGUACGGGCAGACUAGAGUGUGGUAGGGGAGACUGGAAUUCCUGGUGUAGCGGUGAAAUGCGCAGAUAUCAGGAAGAACACCGGUGGCGAAAGCGGCUCUCUGGAACGGUACUGACGCUGAGACGCGAAAGCGUGGGGAGCGAACAGG